UUAAGUUCAGCGGGUAUCCUUGUCUGAUCUGAGGUCAAACCUUGAGUUUGGAGGUUUUGUUCAGGCCGAACCGUCCGUGCUUAACCGUUGAACAAGGCAUGAGAUUUACUAUGUUCUGGUCGGGCGCGGAGGCCAGCAGAGCUUACAACUUUAAAGCGGGCGGGGCGCGAGGCCCGGGCCAACUCAAAACCGGUUGUGAC
rnacentral:misc_RNA from 1 species